GACGAACGCUGGCGGCGUGCUUAACACAUGCAAGUCGAACGGAAAGGCCCUGCUUUUGUGGGGUGCUCGAGUGGCGAACGGGUGAGUAACACGUGAGUAACCUGCCCUUGACUUUGGGAUAACUUCAGGAAACUGGGGCUAAUACCGGAUAGGAGCUCCUGCUGCAUGGUGGGGGUUGGAAAGUUUCGGCGGUUGGGGAUGGACUCGCGGCUUAUCAGCUUGUUGGUGGGGUAGUGGCUUACCAAGGCUUUGACGGGUCGCCGGCCUGAGAGGGUGACCGGCCACAUUGGGACUGAGAUACGGCCCAGACUCCUACGGGAGGCAGCAGUGGGGAAUAUUGCACAAUGGGCGGAAGCCUGAUGCAGCAACGCCGCGUGCGGGAUGACGGCCUUCGGGUUGUAAACCGCUUUCGCCUGUGACGAAGCGUGAGUGACGGUAAUGGGUAAAGAAGCGCCGGCUAACUACGUG
rnacentral:rRNA from 1 species